UACGGGGGGGGCAAGCGUUGUUCGGAAUUACUGGGCGUAAAGGGCUCGUAGGUGGCCAACUAAGUCAGACGUGAAAUCCCUCGGCUUAACCGGGGAACUGCAUCUGAUACUGGAUGGCUUGAGUUCGGGAGAGGGAUGCGGAAUUCCAGGUGUAGCGGUGAAAUGCGUAGAUAUCUGGAGGAACACCGGUGGCGAAGGCGGCAUCCUGGACCGACACUGACGCUGAGGAGCGAAAGCCAGGGGAGCAAACAGGG
rnacentral:rRNA from 1 species